rnacentral:lncRNA from 1 species
GGGGGCAUGAUAAAAGGUGUAUUGGAUUUGAUGUAAUUAAUUGUCUAAUGGCUAGGUUUGUAAAGCAAUACCUAGUGGUGCCCCACCGUGUCAUCUGUCAGUGGACACUCCAUUUUUUUUUUUUUAAGUAAAGGAGGGUGAAAAAACAAAAGAAGAAACUUCAUCGAGAGAGUUGAAUCACAUAAUAGUCAAGUGUAUGAUAAGAGACAGUCACAAAAAGGUGAAUGUUAAUUCUUUGGAGAGGA